rnacentral:rRNA from 1 species
UACGUAGGUGGCAAGCGUUGUCCGGAUUUACUGGGCGUAAAGGGUGUGUAGGCGGAACUUUAAGUAGGAAGUGAAAGGUUGGAGCUCAACUCCAACACUGCUCCCUAUACUGGGGUUCUUGAGUCCCGGAGAGGAAGAUGGAACGACACGUGUAGCGGUGAAAUGCGUAGAGAUCCGGAAGAACACCGGAGGCGAAGGCGGCUCGCUGGGCCUGAUCUGACGCUGAGGCGCGAAGGCGUGGGGAGCGAACAGG